rnacentral:rRNA from 1 species
AUUGAACGCUGGCGGAAUGCUUUACACAUGCAAGUCGAGCGGCAGCACGGGGGCAACCCUGGUGGCGAGCGGCGAACGGGUGAGUAAUACAUCGGAACAUGCCCAGUCGUGGGGGAUAACACUUCGAAAGAAGUGCUAAUACCGCAUACGUCCUGAGGGAGAAAGCGGGGGAUCUUCGGACCUCGCGCGAUUGGAGUGGCCGAUGUCAGAUUAGCUAGUUGGUGGGGUAAAGGCCUACCAAGGCAACGAUCUGUAGCUGGUCUGAGAGGAUGAUCAGCCACACUGGGACUGAGACACGGCCCAGACUCCUACGGGAGGCAGCAGUGGGGAAUUUUGGACAAUGGGGGCAACCCUGAUCCAGCCAUUCCGCGUGAGUGAAGAAGGCCUUCGGGUUGUAAAGCACUUUCAGUAGGGAGGAAGGGUGUUGUGUUAAUAGCACAGCAUUUUGACGUUACCUGCAGAAUAAGCACCGGCUAACUCUGUGCCAGCCGCCGCAGUAAGAC